UUGCUGAAUGCUGCUGUCUGCUGCUGCUGAUCUUUCUUCUUCUUUUUGUUGAGCUGUUCUAAAUCCUAUUGCUGCUGUUGUAUUGCUGAAUGCUGCUAUCUGCUGCUGCUGAUCUUUCUUCUUCUUUUUGUUGAGCUGUUCUAAAUCCUAUUGUUGUUGUUGUUGUAUUGCUGAAUGCUGCUGUCUGCUGCUGCUGAUCUUUCUUCUUCUUUUUGUUGAGCUGUUCUAAAUCCUAUUGUUGUUGUUGUUGUAUUGCUGAAUGCUGAUGUACUGCUGUCUGCUGCAGUGCUGCUGCUGAUCUUUCUUCUUCUUUUUGUUGAGCUGUUCUAAAUCCUAUUGCUGUUGUUGUAUUGCUGAAUGCUGAUGUACUGCUGUCUGCUGCUGCUGAUCUUUCUUCUUCUUUUUGUUGAGCUGUUCUAAAUUUUAUUGCUGUUGUUGUUGUAUUGCUGAAUGUUGGUGUACUGCUAUCUGCUGCUGCUGAUCUUGAGUUGUUGCAGAGAAUUGUUUCUAUACACAAUUGCACAGUUAAUUUAUCUAACACUUGAACUAACAUAUUCUGAAACUUGAUACAUAUGUAGGUCUCCAGCUGAGAAUGAAAUGAAGUGGAAUCCUAUUUUUUGUUGAAAUUUCCAGUUCUACAGCUUUCAUUACAGUUUUAUUGUAAUAAUUGGACAGACGAAUUACUAAGCUUUUGUGUUUGAGCAUUUGAACUAUUAGGAUUGUGUGUGUGCUUGUUGUAAUAAUUUUUGGCGUGCGUUAAUUCUCAAAGUGUAACAUUUGGAAAGGGAUUUGUAUGAGUAUCAUUUCAAAUUGCCCAGGACAGUAUAAGGCCAUUAGACUGAAUUUUAAACUAACAGUAUAUGUUAGUUUAAAAUUAGAGAAUCAAAGUACUAUGUUGUAUUAUCUCAAUAGUUUCAGCCGUGAUAAUCAAAGUGUGCAUCCCACCUCUU
rnacentral:lncRNA from 1 species